GAUGAAGAACGUAGCGAAAUGCGAUAAGUAAUGUGAAUUGCAGAAUUCAGUGAAUCAUCGAAUCUUUGAACGCACAUUGCGCCCGCCAGUAUUCUGGCGGGCAUGCCUGUUCGAGCGUCAUUUCAACCAUCAAGCCCCAGGCUUGUGUUGGAGCCCUGCGGCUGCCGCAGCCUCCCAAAACCAGUGGCGGGCUCGCUAUCACACCGAGUGCAGUAGUUUACUCUUCGCUCAGGGCGUGUGGCGGGUGCUAGCCGUAAAACCCCCAACUUCUCAAGGUUGACCUCGGAUCAGGUAGGAAUACCCACUGAACUUAAGCAUAUCAAUAAGCGGAGGA
rnacentral:misc_RNA from 1 species